rnacentral:rRNA from 1 species
UUAAUAAGGGAGGCAAUACCCGCCCUCUUUAAACGCCCAAAAUUUAUCCUUCUAACAAUAUUUACGAAACCAUCUUUCUUCCCCCGCGGAGUGCCCAACAACUUUCCCCCCCAAAAUGAUCCCCGCGGCCCCCGCGGAGGAUCCUAUCGAACUACCCGCCCGGGGCGCGCCCCGGGCGGGGCGGGCACGGGGGGACUCCUACGGGAGGCAGCAGUAGGGAAUCUUCCACAAUGGACGAAAGUCUGAUGGAGCAACGCCGCGUGAGUGAAGAAGGGUUUCGGGUCGUAACUCUGUUGUUAGAAGAAGAACGGUACUGGUCGAGAGUAACUGUUGCUAGGUAGUGACGUACCAACCAGAAGCAGACUUCCGGC